GAUGAACGCUGGCGGCGUGCUUAACACAUGCAAGUCGAACGAAGCUCUUGUUUUUGAUUCUUCGGAUGAAGAAAUAAGAUGACUGAGUGGCGGACGGGUGAGUAACGCGUGGGAAACCUGCCCUAUGCAGGGGGAUAACAGUUGGAAACGGCUGCUAAUACCGCAUAAGCGCACAGUAUCGCAUGGUACAGUGUGAAAAGCCUUAACGGCAUAGGAUGGUCCCGCGUCUGAUUAGCUAGUUGGUGAGGUAACGGCCCACCAAGGCGACGAUCAGUAGCCGACCUGAGAGGGUGACCGGCCACAUUGGGACUGAGACACGGCCCAAACUCC
rnacentral:rRNA from 1 species